GGAUUUAAAGGAUAAAGCUAGGUGCGUCUCUUAUGUGCGCCAAAGAAGAACAACACAUAUAAUGACAAAGUGUAUAGAGAUAAAUGUCACAAUAUCAUAAAAGUAAUUAUUACAUAACGGAAGUCUUACAAAAAUAAAUGAUAUGUAAAGCGAAUUAAAUGUCCAUCCAUGGCACCAUAAAGCUGACGGGGAGACGUCACCUAGAUCAACUCGUACUCCUCAUUGUACGGCUCCUCCUGAACCAUCUGUUCUUCUCCUGUGGGGGGUUUAUAUAUCGCAGUUGUGAGCUCACAAAAGAUCAUAGCUUAACAAGUCAUGGGGAAUAAUGUGCAUGAACUCACCAAAGGUGUGAGUUCAUGUGAUGUGUAAGGCUGAUCAACAAUAGGGGUUAAAGCUGAGCAUUGUUUUUAAUAAGUUGGUCAAAUUUUAUUAGCAGUUACUAAAUGUAAGUAAAUAUCAAACUAGAAUAAUAAUAGAACAAAAUUAACAAUAAAUCCCAUGCAAUGCAAAUGACAAACUGAAUUUAGUUCCAUAGUUUAAUCAUGCGAGAGUCCUGAGCUGCAAAUGACCGCGAGCACAACUAGUAUACCAGUUUUACACUCUGCAGAGGUUGUACCCUGUACCCACAAGUCAUGUUACCCAUCUGUCAAGGGAUCGCGAUUCCCAUACACCUCUACCAAGGAAGCGAGGUAGGGUAACACUAUGAGGCCUUUGCAAAGUUCCACUAGCUUCAGAAAACCUGUUACAGUUUUUAGGAAGAGCAAUGCAGGAAUCCUCUGUCUGACCGCCAUCGCAGCAAAAUCAACCUAGGAACCUCCCUACACGCCUAUCCCCUACUUCCCUUGCCCCUAUCGGGUAAGGUAGUCCUCCACUAGCUUUCCUAGUUAGUUAGCCAAGGGUGUCCCAUUCCACCCUUGUGUGGCACAUGUUUCUCAAGUUAUGCUCCAUGUUCCAAAUAAAAUAAUGAUGUUGUCAUGAACAAUAAAUAAAAUAACAGUAUAAUUGGAACAUGAACAUAAUGUAAUAUUAAACCAUAUAUAGCAAUAGCAAAACUACCCAAUUAGUUCAGGAGUAAACAAGGUGAAAAGAUAACCAGACUAGGGUGACCUAUUGGGUCCCAUCAAAAUUAAGCCUAUGCAUGAAUAAGUGAUAAUAAAGAACAUUAUUGGGUAAUAAAAGUGGUCAAGGGCACAACUUGCCUUCAAUGAGCUCCUGCUCAGCAACUUCUACCUGUUGAACACCUGGGUCCUCGGUCACUGGCUCUUCUACUCGCCACAACACAAACAAGCAUAGUGUUGGGGACUUGUUCUCAAAAUGCUAUAAGUUGAGAACAAGACAACACAAAAAGUUAAUGGUUAAAGACCUUCGUCCUUCGAAACAUUAUUUCCUUUAGGAUAUAAUGAUCUUCAGACGAAGGUCAUGAAGGACAUACCUUCAUCAUCUCAAUAAACAAUAGAAAGCAGGGUCAUAUGAUACAUAAAAAACAUGAAUACUUAUAUGAUAUUAUUCAGACAUUUUCACUAUAUAAUCAUGAAUGAACAUGGAUAAUAUUGAAUUACAUUUAUACCUUCGGCUUGACAGAAGGUAAGAACUCAAGUAUGAUGUGUGAGUAAAUGCAAGUCAGCGUGAAUAGUACAGGGGUACUGUUCAUCUAUUUAUAGGCACAGGACGUAGGCUGUGAGAAAUUACAUUUAUGCCCUUUACAAAUGCUUACAAUCAUAAUACAAGCUAUCACAGGUCGAUUGAUCAUUUCAUCUUUAAGUCGGUUUGCUCCUUCAUCUUGAGGCAUGCCACUAUGCCGAAGCUUUAUGGAUGAUAGCUUCGGCACUGCUUUUUAAAGGAUCUGCCGAAGGUGUUUCUUCUUACAGGAUCUUCGGCGACGAAGCAUACCCCCAACAGUAGCCCCUUCGCGGUGCUAGAUCGUUUUUCGUAACGAGCUUGAUCCGUGAAAAAGUCUCCUAGGCUUCGAAAUGCCGAAGGUCCAAAAAACACCUUCCCUGAGCUCGUUUCCGAGAAACGAUUAAAAUAUUCCAUGUGGCGGGUACACGCGUCCUGGCGAUUCACCUUCUCGGGCUCUGUGGCCCACCAUUCAGUGGGUGCGGGCGACUGUUUGACAGGUGCGGAAGACUUGACGAUUCACCUUCCCACCUGCGGCACUAUAUAAACAGACAGGUAGGUGUGAAGUUACCACAACAUUCAUUGCUAUUGCAUUGUUUUGCUGCCAAAAAUUUGACCAUAGCCGAAUCUUGUUCAUCACACUCAACCGAAGCACCGCUGUUGGUUUUUGCUUCGUCACAAGAGGAAGAGCUUCGAAAAAAUUAAAAAAGUUAACUUCAUCAAAAAUUGUGAGGGUUUCAUUAUCAAAUGGCAAGGGUACGUUCGACUGCUAGGGUUACACGUGACGGAGAAGAAGCCGAAGCUGCUGAAACCGCUCCGAUUUCCGAAGUGACGAAACGGUCGGGGCUGGUUGCGCCGGAGGAUGUUUCUAACGAAGGUGCACCUGUCGCCGAAGCUGAGCAGGUUGGUGCUGAGGAAGGUGAAUCUGAAGAUGAUUAUAGUGUCGUGGCAUCUAAACCCAGCCACCUGGAGUUUGGGAGGUCUACUGUUACCGAAGAUGAUAUGCCUAAGUUGAUUAAAUUGGGCUAUUUCAGUGAGGCCAAAAAGGGACUAAUUCGCUUUGGUGGAGAGGAAAUUACUCCGAAGCCAGAAAAGGAUGAGGUGGUAGUUUUUAAAAGCUUCUUUAAAGCAGGAUUAAGAUUUCCUUUGAAUGAGAUGAUUGCGGAUGUUUUGGGGAAAUUUGGGAUUUUUCUUCAUCAUCUAACUCCUAACGCCAUCGUUAGACUUAGCGUCUACAUCUGGGCUCUCCGAAGCCAAGGGGCAGAACCGCUUGCCGAAGGCUUCUGCCGGGCACAUGAGCUUCAUUAUCAGACAAAAGCUAGAGAAGAUGGGCUGCACGAGAACUUCAGAUGCUAUAAUUUUGCUUAUCGCAAAGAUGCGUAGACUUCAGUUAUCAGCUAUCGUACCAAGUGGCCAGCUGGCUGGAAGACUGAAUGGUUUUAUGUCAAAGUUGAUGAGAAAAAGGAGAAGCUGGUUCAAAGCCCAUUAGAAUUAAUCUUCGGAGAGACUAGUCCCCAAUGCAAUAUGGCACCGGAGAGUCCAUGCCAGAUUGCACUAGGCGAAUUUCGAGUUGUUGCGGAGCACAUUGGUACCAGGGAUCUGGUGCAAGAAUUCUUAGCUUUUAGAGUGUUUCCAACUUUGAAAGAAUGGGACAUGCCGAAGUUCAAAGGGGAAAAGAAAAAGAAGGAACUUGUUAGGUUGCCCUACUACUAUAAAUUCAAGAAACACUUCAAAGAAUCUUGCCAAGAAUGGUUAGACACGAUUGAAGUUAUGUGCAACAAGAUCCUUGGCAACUAUUCCAAAAAAGAAGAUCAAUUAAUGACUGCAGCCUUCGGCACUCGACCAAAGCGAAGGUUGAAUUGGGUGAUGGAUGCCCUGAACUUUGAGUAUCCUGACUAUGAGCGUUUGGACAGAGGUGCCGAAGGACAAAAAAGAAAAAGAGUUGCUAGCGCCCUGGACAAAGAAGCUGCUAAAUUGGUGAAAAAGGAUGAAAAAACUUUGAAGAAAAUAAAAUUAAGCCCUGAGCCGAAGGUAGCUGCUUCGAAGAAAAAGAAAAUUGCGGCUCUGAAGCGAAAAACGACUGAUAUUGAGGAUGAAGCUCCUUCAACACCUCCUGCUACUGAUGUGGAAGAAAUUUUAAAGGUAAUGACUGAAUCUUUGCCUAUCAAGCUAAGUCCACUAGGGACACAUCUGACGAAGCUUUUUUAGAAGCAAAAGGAGCCUUCGGCAGCAAAGAAGCCAGAUGAGCUGAAAAAACAAAGAAUUAUUCAUGUAGUUGAAGUUAUCGAGCAGACGCCGCCGCUGGCAUCGAUGUCAAAGACUCCAGCUGUUGAGAGCACUGUUGCUGCCGAAGCUGCACCCACCGAAGCCGAAAGUGCCGAAGCUGGAACCGCUGAAGAUGUGAAUCUAGACGCCACACUCUCUGAAAUUGAUACCAUGCUUCUGACUGCGACCACGGAAGAAGCUGCUGCAGCCGCUGAAGAGAUCCCGGGCAUAGUGGCUGGAAAAGGAAAGGAGAAAGCCGAGGAUAUUUCGGAAGAAGAGGACUUCAAUUUUCAAGAUAUACUUGGGCAAGAGUUGUCGAAGGCUGAAAAAGAAGAAUUGAAAGAAUAUGCUAUAUCUUGCGGGUACAGACCAGGUGCGUUACUCUUUGGGGGAGUCAACGAAGAAAGCUUAGGAUGCCUUCGGGACCACAUUGGGGCGAAGGUUGUCGGCACUUUAUCGAAGAGUGUUGGCUUCCCGAAGGUUGAGGCAGACCUUAGCAGGUACCGGCGACAGCAUAUCGCCGGUAGCCUAUUUUAUGCUAACUUUAAGGUAAAAUUCUUAACUUUUUAUUGCUUUGAUAUCAAGAUUGUUUUCUGAUGAAGCUUAUUUUAUCAGAGCUUACUGCUGAGCAAAGUCCUGAGGAUGCAAUAAGACCUCGAGGACAAAAAGAACGAAGUUAUAAUUGAGGGCCUGGAGAAGAAAAUCAAAGAUCAUGAGGCUAUCUUGGAGAAAAAAGACUUCGUACUUCAAACCGUGGAGGGUUCACUGGCGGAGGCCCAGGCCAAAAUUGCUAGAUUGAAUAGUGAACUCUCCACGCAAAAGAAGAAUUUUGAAGCCAAACUCGAAGCUGAAGCUGAGAAAAAUUCAAAUUUGCAGAAAUCACUGAAAGAACUUCAAGAAAAAUGCGUAAACUUCAGCAAACAGAGCCUACAGCGGCUGAAGCAGGUUUUCAACUCGGUUGGAGCCAGCACUGUGAAAUUCAGUCCUUCGGUUGAGAACCUGCCGGAAACCUUCGAACAUAUUGAAGGCGAAGUUGAUGCACUCGACGAAGUUAUAGCUGGACACGCCGAUUUCUGCGCUCUGCUAGCUUCUCGGGGCACAGCUGUUGCCUUCAUAAAAUAUGGCUGCGAACAUGGAAAAAUUGUCAACAUACCAAAUUUUAGCUUAUCACCGAUAGAUUUACUUGAUAUCCCUAGCCUAGCUCGGAGUAUAGGAAAUAGAUUUAUAACUUAGAUUUGGGUAAAAGGCGGGCGAAAAAUGGCUGGCGACGAAGCUCGAAUCCACCUUAAGCCGGUAAGAAAUUUGUGCCUGUUACUUUACCUUCUCCUUGAACUUUGCACUUCUCUCAUACCGUUUUAAUAUGUACAGGAUGACGAUGCUGAGGAACAAUGAGCCGAAGCUUGACAGGUGAUCCGAAGCUCAGAUGAUCCAAAGCUCAAUGAUGUCAAAGCUGAAGUCCUUGCUGAAAAAAUUCUAGAGAAAAUCUUGUAAUAUCGUUGUAAAAAUAUUUGUAAUUUAAAAAUCAAAUACUAAUUCUGUAAAUUUGUGCAUACCUUGUAAUAUAUUUUUACCUUUUCGUCCAUGUUUGAACUGCUUUGCUGUGGACGAAACUAGUAUUUUUUGAGCCGAAGGAGAAAAACACCUUCCCUUCUUUUCGUACACAACGAAGCAUGAAACUGCUUCUUUUUCUUUUUUGUCGAAGCCUUAUCUUUAUGGCCGAAGCAUCUGCCUGUGUCUGUAUGUUAUGAUGAUGAUGAUCCUAUGUAUGUCUAAAUGAAUGUUUAUGAAUGCAAAUGUAUGAUGUAAUAUGUCGUGCAAAUGAAUGUCCAAAGAUACGCAUACGAAGCCACAACCAUAGCCUUUAUUCCCUUGGGAAUGACCGAAGUCUAUUUGCCGUUUAUUUUUCGGCUUCACCGCUUAUUUUUCGGUGUAUCGGCGCUGACUUUUCGCUGUAAGUUCUGCAUCCUCUUAGGAACGUCUUUUGAACUUCUUUGCCUUCUAUUUCAGCGGUAUCGCGUUGACUUUUCAUGCUUCGCCUUAUAUUUCGGUGGAAUCAGCGUUGACAUUUCGCUGUAAGCUCUGCAUUCCCUUUGGAACGACUUUUGAGCAAAAAACUUACGCUCGCUCCCUUAGGAACGGCUUUUUGUAGCUUCGUCGUGCUCUGCAUCCCCUUAGGGACGACUUUCGAGCUUCUCCCUGUUUUUUUCCUUUUUUCCUGUACUCGAUGGUGCAUGCUCAGCUUUUACAUUUACAUAUCUGGGGGAUUUUGCUCUUGUAGAGCUGAAUAAGAAAAAGAGAAAUUACAUUCUAUGGCCCCAUUAAAAACCUUUCUCCCCCUUUGGAAAGGAAAAGGGUGCCAUAGAAAAAAUAAAAAGAUUACAUCAAGCUAAACAUAAUAUCAUCGAAGCUCAUCCGCAUUCCAAGAUCUAGGAAUGUCGUUGCCGUCCAUAUCCUUCAAUCUGUAAGAACCGGGUCUUGACGAAGAUACUACCAGAAAAGGUUCUUCCCACUUCAACUGUAGCUUGCCUACUGUAUCUGGGUUGGCCACUCUCCGAAGUACCAAAUGCCCUGGCUUAAUGUUCUUUAGCCGAACUUUUCUAUCACGCCAUUUUAUUAUUUCGGCUUGAUAUUUAUUGAUAUUCUCCACGGCCUGAAGCCUGAUCCCUUCUAUAGCAUCUUUUGCCACAGAAUAAUUAGCUUCGUCCUCUGCCGAAGCCACUGUUCUUAUUGAUCCUGCUUUAGCUUCUUCUGGGGUUAUUGCUUCGUCACCAAACAAUAGUUUGAAUGGUGUAAAACCUGUUGACCAUGAUAUUGUUGUGUUGUGGCUCCACACCACUUUGAUCAAUUCGUCUGGCCACUUUCCUCUAGGCUGAUUGAAGAUUAACUUCAUUAUUCCCGUCAUUAUAAUGCCAUUAGCUCUUUCAACAAGUCCAUUUGACUCUGGAUAUCUGACCGAUGCAAAAUGAAUCUUCGUGCCAAUUUGUUCACAGAAUUCCUUGAAAGCUUCAGCAUCGAAUUGUGUUCUGUUGUCUAUAGUAAUAGCUUUCGGCACUCCAAAGCGACAAACAAUGUUUUACCAGAAGAAUUUCUGGAUGGUGACUGAAGUUAUUGUGGCUAAAGGCUUCGCCUCAAUCCACUUGGAAAAAUACUCUACCGCCACCACAACAUAUUUUAGAUUUCCUUGUGCUGGUGGAAGUGGGCCUAGCAAAUCGAGGCCCCACCUUUGCAACGGCCAAGUGGGCUGUAUUAACUGAGUGAGAGAUGAAGGUUAUUUCUGGUCUCUUGCACAUUUUUGAUAGCCUUCACAUUUUUGGACUAAUUCUACUGCAUCUGAAGCUGCCUUCGGCCAGUAAAAUCCUUGUCGAAAAACUUUUCCCAACAAGGGCCUAGAUCCAAUGUGAGAUCCACACAGACCUGCAUGUAUCUCUUUCACUAAUUCCAUACCUUCAGUUCUUGAUAAAUACUUAAGGAGUGGUGAGCAAACUCCAUGUUUAUACAAUUCCCCUUCUAUCAUCACAUAUGGUCUUGUUCUUGCCUCCAUUCUCUUGUUAUAAGCUUCGUCACAUGAAAGACAAUUGCCUUGGAGGAAAGAUAUUAUUUCAGUUCUCCAGUCUUCACUGUGUACUAGAGAAAUAGUAAGCAUUGCUCUCUCCAUGAGCUCAACCGAAGGUGCUUUUAUUGUUUCAAAAAAUACUUCCGAGGGUAAAGGGAGCCCCUGUGCCGCUGAUUUGGCUAGCAAAUCUGCAUGUUCAUUUUCACCUCUUGGAAUAUUCUUGACAGAAAAACCUUCGAAGGAAGCAUCCAACCUUCGAACUGCAUCCAAAUAUAUUUCAAGCUUCGAAUCUCGUGCCUUGUUACUUUUGUCCACAUGGCCAGCAAUAACUUGAGAAUCAGUCUUUAGGAUGGCCCUUCUUAUUCCCAUUGCCCUUAGUUUCCGAAGCUCCAAUAGAAGUGCUUCAUACUCAGCAAUAUUAUUUGUACGACUGAAAUCCAGUUUGACUGCAUAACAUAUUUUGACUUUUGAAGGUGCUACUAGGACCGCAGCUGCUCCUGCACCGAAGGCUCCCCAAGAACCAUUGCAAAACACUGUCCAAGCUUCGGCAUCUUUGCUUGUCCCCUCUUCGUGAGUCCCUGGCGUCCAAUCAGCGAUGAAAUCUGCUAGCGCUUGGGAUUGAAUUGAAGAUAUGUGCACGUAGUCAAUAGUGAAUUCAUUAAGCUCCGCGCCCAUUUCCCAAUCCUUCCAUUAGCUUCUCUAUUCCUCAUGAUAUCCUUCAGGGGCUGUGAUGAAGGAACAAUUAUGUGAUAUGCUUGAAAAUAAUGUCGAAGCUUCCUGGACGCCAUUAACACAGCAUACAACACCUUCUCUAAUUCUGUAUAAUUUUUCUUUGAUAAACUCAAAACUUCGGAGACAAAGUAUAUUGGGACUUGCUUUUUAGCUUGUCCUUCAAGCUUCUCUUGUACAAGCGCCGCACUCACUGUAGAGUACAAAGCUGCCACAUAUAAUAGCAAAGGAGCCCCUAGCACGGGUGGAGUUAAUGUUGUUAAAUCGAUCAAGUAUUGCUUCAGCUCUUCGAAAGCUUUCUAUUGAGUUGGGCCCCAUUGAAAAACUUCAGCUGACUUUAGUACUUCAAAAAAUGGUAAAUUUCUUUCUACUGAUCUAGAUAUAAAUCGAUUCAAAGAUGCCAGUCUUCCUGUCAACCGUUGGCCCCCCUUCUUUGUGCUUGGCGGCUCCAUUCGAAGGAUAGCUUCAAUCUUGCUUGGGUUGGCUUCGAUCCCCUUUGUUGAAACUAGGCAGCCAAGGAACAUGCCCUUCUUCACUCUGAAGACACAUUUUUCUGGAUUUAAUUUCAGGCCAGCUUGCCUAAAAUUAGCAAAUGUUUCCUGCAAAUCAGUAAUGUGGUUUUCUUGCUUCGUGCUCUUUACUAUGAUAUCAUCAACAUAUGUUAGCACAUUUCUGCCUAUCUGAAAAUGAAGAACCUUGGUUGUGAUCCUGCUGAAGCUUCCUCCAGCAUUCUUGAGCCCCUUAGGCAUCCGAAGUUAACAAUAUGUACCACUGGGGGUUAUGAAGCUGGUCUUUGGCUCAUCUUCCUUCUUCAUCCAGAUUUGGUGGUAGCCUGAAUAACAAUCUAGUAGACUCAUGAGCUUUGACGAAGCUGCUGCAUCUACUAGAGAAUCUGUUCUUGGUAAUGGGAACUCAUCCUUUGGACAAGCUUGUUCAGAUCAGUAAAAUCAAUGCACAUUCUCCAUUUACCAUUGGCCUUCUUCACCAUGACAGUGUUGGCUAGCCAUUCUGGGUAUUUUACUUCUCUGAUGACACCAGCACUGAGAAGUCUUUUUACUUCGUUCCGAGCACCUUCGGCUUUAUCGUCAGACAUUUUCGAAGCUUUUGCUUCCUGGGUCUGAAGGAUGGAUCGACAUUGAGUGAAUGUUCAAUGACAUCCCUGUUGACACCACAGAGAUCGUUGGCUGACCAUGCAAAAACAUCUUUGUUGUUGAAUAAAAACCUUAUCAAGGUUUUCUCCUGCUCUUCAGAUAAUUGGGACCCCAGCAAUACCUUCUGCUCUGCUAUGUCUUCACAUAGAAGCAUGGACUUCGGCUGAUCAGUCGAAGCACCCUUCUCUCUUCUGUACUUAUAUUGCUCACAAGCUUCGGCUCCAUCUAUGUUGUGGAUUGCUUUUGAAUCUAUCCAGUUUCCUUCGGCCUUUCUAGCAGCUUCCUGACUGCCAUGAAUAGCAAUGGGUCCUUGUUCCGAAGGUAUCUUCAUGCAUAGAUAUGCUGGAUGAAGUAUUGCUUCGAAAGCGUUGAGUGUCCCACGACCAAUGAUUGCAUUAUAGGGGUAUUCCAUGUCGACAAUAUCAAACACAACCUGUUCAGUCCUUAUUUUGUGGACAAAUUCAAAGGUUACUAGCAUUGUGAUCUUGCCAAGUGCUACGAUCGGUCUUCCUCCGAAGCCACAAAGAGGGUGCGUAGCAUCAUGAAUUUUGUCCUCUGGCUCCUGCAUCUGUCUGAAGGCCUUAGCGAAUAUGAUGUCAGCUGCACUGCCUGUAUCAACCAAAACAUUGUGGACCAGAAAUCCCUUAAAGACACAAGAUAUGACCAUAGCAUCAUUAUGAGGAUAAUCCUUGAGCUGAAGGUCCUCCUAGGAGAAGGUAAUUGGGAUGUGGGACCAUUUUGACUUGUUGAAGGGUCCAUGCACCCCAACAUGUUGCACCCUUCUCUGGGCCUCCUUCUUGUGCUUCUUGUUGGCUGGCUCUGAGCAUGAGCCGCCUGUUAUUGGGAGCACCAGCUUCGUAGCCGAAGUAGCCUCAGUUUGGUUGCCGAACAAAGCCAUCAGCUCGAAAGUAGAAGUGAGUUCACCGGAGGUGGGCGCCAAUGUUGGGGACUUGUUCUCAAAUGCUAUAAGUUGAGAACAAGACAACACAAAAAGUUAAUGGUUAAAGACCUUCGUCCUUCGAAACAUUAUUUCCCUUAAGAUAUAAUGAUUUUCAGACGAAGGUCAUGAAGGACAUACCUUCAUCAUCUCAAUAAACAAUAGAAAGCAGGAUCAUAUGACACAUAAAAAACAUGAAUAAUUAUAUGAUAUUAUUCAGACAUUUUCACUAUAUAAUCAUGAAUGAACAUGAAUAAUAUUGAAUUACAUUUAUACCUUCGGCUUGAUAGAAGGUAAGAACUCAAGUAUGACGUGUGAGUAAAUGCAAGUCAGCGUGAACAGUACAGGGGUACUGUUCAUCUAUUUAUAGGCACAGGACGCAGGCUGCGAGAAAUUACAUUCAUGCCCUUUACAAAUGCUUAUAAUCAUAAUACAAGCUAUCACGGGUCGAUUGGUCAUUUCAUCUUUAAGUCGGUUUGCUCCUUCAUCUUGAGGCAUGCCACUAUGCCGAAGCUUUAUGGAUGAUAGCUUCGGCACUACUUUUUAAAGGAUCUGCCAAAGGUGUUUCUUUUUACAGGAUCUUCGGCGACGGAGCAUACCCCAACACAUAGUACAAGGGAAAAAUUAACAUCACACCAAACAUCUAUACCAAAUACAUAUUAAUAAUCUACGCAUUAAAACGAGAUCAUAGGGAAAAGAAUCACUAAAUUCGGAGUUACGGAUUUUAAGAUAUGAUUUUCCGAAGGUUUCAUGCAUUUGGUACAAGAUUAAUUAAGAGAUCAAUUUUAAUAUAGUUUUCAUGUUAAAACAGAGACACUAUGUGAUGAACAAUAUUAUUACAAAAUUAUAGAAACUGGAAUGGAUCAAUUUGGACUUAAUAUGAAUUUUCUAGGAAAUAGACAAGUUCUAGUAAUUAUUUUUACAUUAAAAAUCAAUUUCCAUAUUUAUUUAUCUAAUUUCCCUGCUCUCGGGACUGCGCGCUUAAAAACAGAUAAGUGCAGGGGCCAGCGUAUAAAAUUUCCUAGACUCAGGACACGGGUUGAUUUUUAUAAAGUCCAGGGAUUAUUAUGCAAAGCCACCGACCGAAGAGGUAUGAGCCGAUCGUGGCAGUCCGAUCUAACACGUGCGCCCGAGAUUAGAACUAGGUCUUCCUGAACCGGCACACGAACACAACCCUUGGAUUGGAGAUCUACGGCAUCGCAACAUCCAUGAUCUGAUCCCGUCCGAUCAGAUCAGACGGCUCAAACCCGUCCCCCACGAACUGUUAUGAUCUAUUUGAUCCGUACCGCGUAGACUCUAUCCAACGUCCAUGUCGCGAUCCACCAAAGAUCUAAUCUCGGUCCUUGGCCGUUGGAUCAACGGUCGAUGCCGCUCUUCUACCCCCGAGUCUAAUGUUUGGUGGCGCGAGCACGGGGCACGGCGUCGCCAUCGCCGGCGACCAGCCCCAACGUGAUUUGUGCACUAACACUUCUAUCCAAAGGUAAAUGUGGUUAGCAGGAACAAUAGGAUAUGCACGGGAAAGGUGCUCACCAUGGAUUAAGGAUCGAGCAGAUGCGUCCACGGUGCACGGCGGAAUCCGAUCUCCGACGAGAAAUUCCAGUCCACGCAGCAGCCGGAUUUGCGCCAAUCGACCACUAUCGCUUCCCCCACAGUACCGCAACGUUCUCCGGUCACCAGCAGGUACGGUUUCGUCGGCUAUUGGCGGGUACAGGGCCAACGGCACCCUCUGCACACGAUUUGCCGCGGCACUGGCGUUGGUGAGCGAAACAGGAAGACCGGUGAUGCCCCGUGCGGCUGGUAGAUAAAGGCUGAGGUGCUGGCGCCGAGGCGAUAUCGGCGGGAUGGUUGAGCUUAGGCCGACGUGCGUGCAGAGAGGGAAGAUCUGAGGGCGCACUGUCUUAGAGCUGAUUUGGUGACCGGGGAUCCCGAGGGGAAGAAAUCCUCUUGCUAUUCAAAAUUGAAUUGCGAGGGGAUUCCUCCCCCAUGGAUCCCCUAGGGAUCCCUAAUCACCAAAUUAGCCCUUAGUGUUUGGGAGCGCGCCAGAGAGAUAGACCGAGCGGACCCACGCGCAAGUGGCGUUAGAAAAUGCAGUGCGGCGUGAUGAGAGUCAGGCGGGUAGGUCCCGCCUGCAGGUGUCCCAGGUCAGUCAGCAUGCGGGCGCGAUAUUGGGCUGGGAGCGCGCGAGGGUGAGUAAGUUGGGCCGGCCGAGUGCUUUUCGGCCCAAGAGAGACCCC
rnacentral:lncRNA from 1 species